rnacentral:lncRNA from 10 species
CUCCUCCUAACAACCUCCACCUGGCAACCUUCAUUUAACGCAAAACAAAGAGCCUCACUCCCCUGUAUGCUGAUGUUCCACAGGAAGGGCCCAGAGCUCAGAUGUUCCUCACAGACAAGGAAUUUAUCUCUGGGUUGGGCACGCUCUGAACUCCAAACACAUAUUCAGGUGCAACUGCCAUACAGGAUCAUCCUCAGGGUAUGCUCAAGUUAAAUUAUUGCUGUCGGGUGUGUCUACCAUAUACCAUCAUACCACAGGAUCAGCACAACUGAACCUGAGUGUAAAGAGGAAGAAGGCUAAGCAGAGUUGUGACUCUCCAACUGCAUUGGAGGAUUUUUAGGGAAAGGGCAUGAAGAACUUGAAGGUAUAGCUUUAUUCUAAAAUACUCCUCUCUAUAUUUUUUUCUCAUGGGGAGCAAAGAGCCAGUCUGAAAUGGAACUAUUAUUUUACAGAUAAAUAGAGGAAAGUUAUGCCUUAAGAGCAGAUAGAAAGUCCUGCGUUACUGGAUAUGAGGGCAUAGCAUCAUAUCGUUUACUCAGCAAACAUUUAUUACUCAGCACUAGAACUAGCCACAAUACAUAAAUUAAUUAAAAGCUAUGACCCUUUUCCUCAAGGAUCUACAAUCUAAUUGGAAAGACAGAAGGACAAGAGAAGCACAAGAAACAGCAAAAGCCAUAUGUUUGCUUCUAUCUUUAGGAUAAGAAAUAAUAGCACAAAAGCAUAGGGUUUCAGAGCCACAGGGACUGAGAUUUUCGAUUCUAGCCCCUCUUUUAAGAGGUGAGGAAAUGGGAUCAAGUCCUGGCAAUGAUGAGGUCAAUUCCUCAACUCCCACAGGAGGACCCUUCCUGCUUUGUUCCGUGUUGUUAAAAAUGACAAAGGUACAACGUACGAAACAAUACUUCGCGGCCAGAGGGAAGAACUGUAGUCAGGGAAGACUUCCUGGAGCUGGUAAGAAUUGAGCUAGGCCUGCUACUUGAAUUGUUAUGUGUUCCCAUUGCUACAGAAGAUCUAAACAUUUUGGAUCUGAGCAAGCAUUUCCCUGCCGUGUGAUUCACUGUGCUGCCCUGUGGUUGCUAUCAUCGUCAAACAGAAGGCUGACUGACAAAGAGGCCUCUAAAUCAAGGGGAGAAAAUCCUCCAGAGGAUACACUAAUUAUAGGUUAAAUAUCAGAGCACACAGUAUUCUGCCUUGGAAGAAAAUUUCCAUUCUGCAAGACAAGACUAUGACAAACAGGCAUUUUCUCAAAAUGACUAAUGCCUCAAAAGAAGGCAGAAUGAGAAACUUGAUGCUGUGUAUGGUAUUUCUGUGAAACAUCACCCCCCUGUUUGGUGGAAUAUUUAACUGCAUUUCAGUUUUCCUGAAGUCUGAAUAUCACAUUUGAUGCUGUUGCAAAGUCUCACUGUUCUGACGGCUGAGAAUUCCAAGAUCAAGCCUCCAGCAGGUUCAGUUGUCUGGUGAGGGCUGCUCUCUACUUCCAAGAUGGCUCCUUCAGAGGAGAGGAAUGCUGUGUCUUCACACAGUGGAAGGCCAAAAGGCAAGAAGAGACUAACUGCCUCUCCUUCAAGCCUGUUUAUCCAGUACUUAAUCCUUAAUCCCAUUCACCACGGAGAGGCUCUCAUGACCUAACGACCUCUUAAAGAACCCACCUCUUAAUACUAUCACAAAGCCAGCACCUGAAUUUUGGAGGAGACACAUUCAAACCACAGCAACAAGGAAAUGUUAAUGUGCAAUGGCUCCCUCAGUUAGAUUUUAAUAAUACUGUGCUCAUUAGUUAGCUACUUUCUCUCAGUUGAUUCCUACCACUGAGGACAAAUUUCUGUUUGAUAGUAGAUGCCCUGAUCAGAACUUUCAAAGUUCUGAGGGGAAGGGAAUUUCUGGGGUCUGGCAAUUCAGCAAAAGCAAAGAGCUUUGGCAUUUUCAAGUUCAUGCCUUUGGGUAAUUUUUUUAAUGUCUGGCUCAUUUCUUUGAUUCGAAAAUCAAUUUCCAUUUUGACAAACAGUCAUGGUCUGCUUCUUAGUCCAGGCUUAAAUGCCCAGGGACACAUGAAUUGUAUUUCUUCCCAUGAUCCUACUUGCCACCCUUCCCUGAAUUAAAUCCACAAUUCUCAUUUGUAUGCAUUCUUCUCCCUACAAGGAGAAGGAAUAGAGAGUACCCAGCCAUCCUCUAACAGAAAUGAACAAUCUGUUCCACAGUGCAUGAUCAUUACAUGCUCAGGACUAUACCAGAACUGGGGUUGGGGCUAAGAGAGUGCAAAUCAAACAGAAGACAUUAUAUUCAUCCACAAGAAACUUAUCAGCUUCUGGGGUAAUACCAAACUUACACAUAUGAAAGAUUUAGAGAAUCAGAUGAGAUUGAUUUCAUUGAUUCAUUCAAAAACUUACUAGGUAUUUACUGUGAAUGGUGCCACAGCAAAUGCCUAGGGAAAACAAUGCCUGGAAUGAGACAUUUGCUUUCAUGGGAUUUAGAAAGAAGUAUUAGAAUAGACAUGGACAUAAAUAAUAAUAAUUUAAGGCUGAAAAGUAUAAGCACUAGAAUAGCGCAGACGAAGUAAAUAAUUCUAACUAGGAGCAAGAGUUUCACAUGAGAGAUGAUCCUUGGGUCUUAAAGAACAAAAGGGGUAUUGACAGAAAAUGCAGGCAAGAGGCAUUCCAAGCGGAGGGUACAGUAGCCUUUUGAGGAAGUUCAUUGGUAUAAAAUGCAAGGCUCAUCUAGGGAUAUGAGUAGAACAGAACAAUGCAGUUAUAAUAGAGAUGGGGUGAGAGUCUGGCUGGAACAUCUUUUCAGAACCCAGAAGGUCUUGCUGGUAAGUUUGGGCUUUCUUAGCCACAUUAAACUGAGGUUCAUGAACAAGGAUAUAACACAAUUAGAUAUUUGCUUUAGAAAAUAAAGUGGCACCACAUUAGAGAGUAGAUUAGAGGGAAGGAGUGAAUUCAUUUAGGAAGAAUACAGUCUGAAUUAAUGAAAUAGAAAGGGAAAGAUGAUGAUUGUAGCCCUGGAACUUGAAGACAAGUCAAGAGUGUUGAAAGAAAAGAGAAGAGGUCACCAAUGGAAUCUUAGGCAAACUUAAAUUUAAUAGAUGGGCCUGUAGCUAAAUGUUUGUGAACAUAAAAAUCUUUUAUCUUCACUACCCAACUAAAAUCUCUCUCAAAGGACCCUAAAGGCCUUUAAGUUGCCGAUUCUGUGUUCCCUUUUUAGUUCUCAUUGUAUUCAACCUCUCUGUUCAAGAGGUCACUAAUGACCAUCAUUACCCUGGUUUCUUGAAACAUUCUGUUUCAUUGCCUGUAGUGAUGCUACAUCUCUUAGUUAUUCUUUUACUUUUCUGACUACUCUCGCUCAUUUAUUUUCAUUACCAGGUGGAAUAAGAUGACAAGGGCAGAGGAGAUAGGGUAUGCAAAGACAAGGAGAAGCGAAAAUAGAACUGAUAGCUUUUAUGUGCACAGGCUUAGAACUUGCUCCUGAACAACUACUGCCUUUGCCUAGUAGCUCAAAUUUAUAAAUUAAGUAAUAUAGAGGGAAUUUGCCUACUACGGAGAAGGCCGUCCCUAUUCUUGGAGACCCACAAUCCCAAACAAGUCUGUAGAUUCUGCUCAAAAUGAGUGGUUGCAACUAUAAUGUGCAUAGCUGGCAUUAAGUAAAAAUUUUAAAUGCAAGAAAAUCAGCAAAAACUACUCAAUAAAAUUUUCAACUGAUUAUUGCUAAUAAUUCUUAUAAUAGGUUUAAUGAGAUAUAGUUCACAUACUAUACAGUUCAUCCAUUAAAAAUGUACAAUUCAAUUAUUUUUAAUAUAUUCACACAGUUGUGCAACCAUUACCACAAUCAAUUUCAGAACAUUUUCAUCACCCCAAAAAGAAACCCCGUAUCCAUUAGCAUUCACACCCUAUACUCCCUCAACCUCCUCAGUCCCAGGCAACCACUAAUCUACUUUCUGUCCCUGUAGAUUUGUCUAAUCUGGACAUUUCAUAUAAUAUGUAUGGUCUUUUGUGACUAGCUUCUUUCAUUUUGCAUGUUUUCAAGGUUCAUUCAUAUCACAGCAUAUAUUAAUAUUUCAUUCAUUUUUAUUGUUAAAUAAUGUUUCAUUAUAUGGACAUACCACAUUUUGUUGAUCCGUCUAUCAGUUGAUAGACACUUAGGUUGUUUCUACUUUUGUUUUUUUGUUUUUUUUUUUGAGAAGGAGUUUCACUCUCGUUGCCCAGGCUGGAGUGCAAUGGUG